AGCGUCCUUGUAUAUUUUGUAGCAACGCCUGUGAUAAAUUGUUAGUCCGAUUUUGGUGAUUCCCGAGGAACAAUCUAAGGGGCCCCUUGGCCCAUUUGGGUACUUUAGGGAAGAAAGUUAAACUAGUUUCUUUUUAGGAAUACUGAAAGUGUGUGGAGAUCCAAAAGCAGAUUCCUUGCUGUCUUCGUUUAAGUGUAUUGCGAAUCGCCUUUUGGAUGAUUCCUUAUCUUGUAUUUCAAUUUCAGCAGUUACCAUGAGAAAAUUUUUGUGAAAUGUGCAGCUAUUCCAAUGCUUAAAACAAAUGAAAUCCUUCGCUGUUGUACAAGGUUGAGUCCAAAGGAAAAACAAUUGUUUUCCAUAGGAAACGUUUUGAAUAGUUUCAGGGAUUUUAAAAUACUGUCUUCUGGUAUUAUGAGAGUAAUAUUGUGUAACUUCUUUAUUUUGUAAGCUUUGUAGUACAUUUCCAAAUAUCUUUGAGUGGAAAUGUAAGUGAGCUCCUUUUCUAGUAAGGGUUUCAAGACCACUGUUAAAUAUUUUGAGGGGCACUAAGUGCGUCUUAUUGUAACAAGUUCAUGUGUGUGGCAUGCUGUCACAUAGCUUUAGCUGAAAGAAAAAAAAACACCUUUGGGGAAUCAUGAAAUUAACUUAUUUUAGGUAGACAUUAUCUUUGGUUGGAGGAAUUUAAUGUAAAUCUCUAUAAUUGUAUAUAACAUAUUUUUGAGAAGUUAAAAGAAUUUUUGCUUUUACUUUUUGACAGGCUGAGUUUACAAAGUAAAUUUCUUUUACUAGAUGAGCAUGUAUGUAUUACCAUUAGGGACUUAGAAUCUUUUAAACUGAUUUUUUUUUUAAUUUUUCUUAACGUUUAUUUCUUUUUGAGACAGAGAGAGACAGAGCAUGAACGGGGGAGGGUCAGAGAGAAGGAGACACAGAAUCUGAAACAGGCUCCAGGCUCUGAGCUGUCAGCACAAGAGCCCGACGCGGGGCUCGAACUCACGGACCGCGAGAUCAUGACCUGAGCCGAAGUCGGCCGCUUAACCGACUGAGCCACCCAGGCGCCCCAGGGACUUAGAAUCUUUAAAAAGCCAAUUUUAGGCCAGGAAAUGUCUACAGAGUUUGAAGCUUUCUCCCUAGAGAAGUUGUAAUGUUGCCAUAGUAAGAGACUAAUAAUAGUGGAGAACAAGCUAAAAACCAAAAAAACCACCUAAAACCCUACACAGUAAUAUUCAUAUAGUUCACUUACUUCAGGUAUUGAAGAGUUAUUACUUAUGAUUAGAGAACAGGUUCUUCUUGUGUUAGGUUGAAAGUAAUUCACGAGGACCGUUUUUAAAAGUUUGGACAUCUAUAACCACUUUUUAAAAUUGACUUUAAAAAAAGUGUUUCACUGAAAUGUUUAUAGAAACCCAUUCAGCUGGGCCACUUAGCGAACACUUACUGAAAGCUUUGUGCCAUCCCUAUAUUUGAUUAAGACUAAUUCAAGUUACUAGUUUCUGUUUAGGCCUUGAGUGCUAAACAAGGUGGGGAAAGGAUUUACAGUUUGUAGUUUAGUGGGAAAAGUAUGCGGUUAAACAGUAAACUGUGUUAGGUUUUAUCUUUGUCCUUGAAGAACUCUGAGACUAGUGAGGGAGACGUAAAAGGCAGAUAGGUGCUGUAACAAGAGGCAAAACUUGAGUGAAGAAGCCCGGCCCGUUAGGAAGCUUUCUUAGAAGAGGCUUAUUUUCAUUUUGGGGGGAAGGAUUGGGCUAGGGAGUGGUUGUUUACUCAACCCCUGAUGGGAGAGAACAUGUGGCUUAUACUUAAGUACCCUGUCAGUUUGCUGUGUGCUUCUGUUCUAGGGUGGGAUAAAGGAGAGGAUUGGGAAGGAGGAGGGAUAGGAUGAACUGGGAGGUGACCUUUGGUGUCAUUUGAUUCUUUCUUUCUUAAUCUUAUUCUUCUAGUCAGAGGUAAAUCAUUUGCUUUGAUGUAUUCAGUUGCACAGUUCAACACUAGGAGACUCAUUUAGAAUCAACAAUGUAUGCUUAGUUUGAUAAGGCUAUAAAGUCAUUUCAUUCUGACUUGCCCUAAAUCACCUGUAAAUUUUAGUUUAAGUCUAUUUAAAGAUAGUUUGCAAAAUUCUUUAUCAUUCAGUAGGUUUAUUCGAAUUAGUUUGAACUCUACGUGUGACUAGGAUGGAUUCUCUUAAGUGACUCAUUUAAUCAUUCUGAGAAUAGGUGGUGAAUUUUUCUGUCACAUGCCUAACAAUCAUCUUGGUACGAAUUAUCAGCAUUUUGCACAAUUAUGGAGAAACAGAUACCAGUUUAAUGCAUUUUUUAAAUACCUUUGUAUCUUACUUAAAAAUUUUGUUUUAGGGGCACCUGGGUGGUUCAGUCGGUUGAGCAUCCAGCCUUCGGCUCAGGUCAUGAUGUCGAGUAUGGCAUUUAAGCCCUUCCAUUUUGUGCUGUCUUCUCUUGUAACACCUGCUCAUCUGCACACAUCCAUACUUUCUUGCCUGAGAAAGAAAAACCCUCCUCAUAUCCAAGCUUGUUUGUUCUGCUGUUUUUGUUGAUUAAGGUAAAAUCCCUCAUGACUCAUGCUUAGACCAUGUUCCCUCAGAUAUUUUCCCUCUCAUGUUUUCAACCACUGGGUUCUUCUUUUAAACAUAUAAAUACACUUAAUUUUUUCAUUUUAAAAAGAAGCAAACAAAAUACUUCUUUGACUCCCAACUCCUUCUGGUACAUGUCCCUCCCUGUCCCUCAUUUCCUUUGCAGUCAAACUUCUUGGAAAAAUAGUCCAUGUUCAUUCACUAUCUGUCCUGUAUCUCACCUCCUGUUCACUGUAGUACUAUUCUCUCCUCACUGCUUAUUGAUUGCCAACCACAUUGAUCAUUUCCAAUUUUUAUCUCUCUUUGGCACUUGACAUUAUUGGCAGUUCCACUUUUUAAACAAUUGUUUUCACUUCCAUAUACUUCUAAUUUUCUAAUUUGCUCCCUUUAUUGUCUCAUUUGUGGGCUUUUUAAAUGCUAAUGUUUCUGAGGUUCUGAUUUGUUUUUUGUUUUAUCUCUGUAAACUUUCCUUGUUCAGUCUCAUUGUUUUGAUGGCUUCUCUUUCUUUUCCUUGCUCUCUUUGCACAUGUUGGUACACACUCAAAUUUGUAUUUUUUUUUUUUAAUGUUUAUUUGUUUAAUUUUGAGAGAGAGAGCGCACAAGCCAGGAAAAUGGCAGAGAGAGAGAAGGAGGCAGAGAAUCCAAACCAGGCUCUAGGCUCUGAGCUGUCAGCACAGAAGCCGGACAGGGGGCUUGAACUCAUGAACACUGAGAUCAUGACCUGACCUGAAGUUGGGUGCUUAACCGACUGAGCCACCCAGGUGUCCCUCAAAUUUGUAUUUUAAUUGGGACUUUGCUGUCAGUUUUAGAAUUACUUGGUGACUAUCUGGAUUUGAGUUGUAACUCAGACACUUCAAACUCAACAUAUCCCAAACAGGUGUUUUUUUUUUUGUUUUUUUUUUUUUUGUUUUUUACAACCCAAGCCUGUGCGUCUUUCCUUCUUUUUAAUAUUUUGGUGGCAUCGUGAUUACUCAUACAGAAAUACUCUGUAUGUCUACUAAUUAAAAUCUGUAUUUCUACAUCCCAGAGAUAAUUCUUGAAUCUGUACCCUUUAAUGAAGCUUUACUUUUAAAUUCACUUAUUUUAAUUUGUUUAUACAAUAAAGAUUUGACUUUCUGCUCUAUGUAGUAAGUGUUGAAUAAGUGUUAGAAUUACAGUUUGAGUAAAAUACAAUCUUUGUUUUCAUGAGGCAGUUCUAAUGGGAGAGAUAGACACUAAUUGCCUAAUUAGAAGAAGGAAAUGUAACUAUGAAGAGGAGUGUAGUGCUAUAAAAAUGCAAAAAAUAGGGGCGCGUGGGUGGCUCAGCCAGUUAAGCGUCUGCCUUCGGCUCAGGUCAUGAUCUCUCAAUUCAUGGGUUCAAGCCCUGCAUUGGGCUCUAUGCUGACAGCUCAGAGCUUGGAGCCUGCUUUGGAUUCUGUGUCUCCAUCUCUCUCUGCCUCUCCCCUGCUUGCGCGCUGUCUCUCUCUCAAAAGUGAAUAAACAUUAAAAAAAAAUUAAAAAAAAAGUAAAAUAUCUUCCUGGUCAGGGAAGACACAAUUGGAUUAAGGUUUUCUAAUAUGAGUACAAGCUAUUAACCUAGGUGAAAAAAAGAAAAAUACAGUAGAAGCAGCAUGUGUUUACAAAGAUCCUGUGGCAGGAGGGAACAUGAAGCGUUUACUGUUACUUAACCUGUUAAAGUAAUAUCUCAUGUUAUUUACAAGCCUGAGUCAGUGUAACAGUAGUGGAGACAGCCAAGGUGAGUGUGGUGCUGGUUUGUAGGUUGACUAAAGAGUUUUGUUUUCAUCCUAGCCCACUGAGAGAUUUAAGUGGGUGGAAUGGUAGAAAUAGAGGGAAUGGAGUGAUAAUCACAUUUGUAUUUAAAAAAAGCCGUAAUUCUGGGGGCACCUGGGUGGCUCAGUUGGUUAAAUGUCCACCUCUUGGUUUAGGCUCAGGUCAUGAUCUCACAGUUUCGUGGGUUCCAUGCUGACAGUGCUGAGCCUGCUGGGGAUUCUCUGUCUUCUCUCUCUUUUCCUCCCCCAUUCACACGGUCUCUGCUUCUCUCUAAAUAAAUAAAUAAAUAAACAAACUUAAAAAAAACAUAAUUCUGGUAACAUAAAGUAGUAUUAGAAGGGAGAUAGAGAUGAAUUAGUUUCCUCAGUCCAGGCAAGAGGUGACUACUUGAUUUGAGGGACUGGUAUUAGAGAUGGUGAAAAGUUCAGGAGGAUCAAGCCAGUGAAACUUGGUGGUCUAUUAGAUAUGCUCACUGAGAGUACAGGUAUCUUGGCCGUCUCUGAGAUUCCUCGUUUAUGUAACUGGAGGAAUGGUGGUGCUGUGUGCUGAGCUAAAAAAGGAAACACUGGAGGGGCGCCUGGGUGGCUCAGUCGGUUAAGGGUCCGACUUUGGCUCAGGUCAUGAUCUCACAGUCCAUGAGUUCGAACCCCACGUUGGGCUCUGUGCCGACAGGUCAGAGCCUGGAGCCUGCUUUAGAUUCUGUGUCUCCCUCUCUCUCCCUCUGCCCCUCCCCUGCUCAUGAUCUGUCUCUGUCUCUCAAAAAUAAAUAUUUAAAAAAAAUUUUACAAAAAGAAACACUGGAUAUUUGAAUGAGGACCACAUGCAUUUUACUUGGGGUUGUGGGAGAGUGGUAGGAUGAGGAUCCUCAUCUCAUUAGGUAUGUUAGAUGUGUUUAGGACCCUUCAGGAUAUUAAUGAAAAGGUAACUAGUAGGUUUUGGUUAUAUGGAUGUGUUUUUCAGGGAGAAGUCUGGGCUUUGGGGAAUUGUUUAUUUCAGGUGAUUAUCUCUUGUCUUUUCUCUAUUAGUCUGUAAACAGGCCUGCUUUUCUCUAGUGUCUCUCUAGCCACACUGCUGCUAGAACUACCCUUUGUAAAAUGCAAACCUCAUAUUCUUGCUCCCUUGGUUAAUAAAGAACCUGGCAUAUUUUCCCAUUAUGUAGAUGAAAAAGUCCAGAAUCCACUGCCUGCCACCCCAUUUCUCUUCUACACAUAGCUGUAGGUUAUAUGAAACCAUUUUCCCAAACACUUUAAGCUGUUGCAAGACUUUGCACAUGCUCUGUCCAGAAUAUUAUUCUCCCUCAUAUCUGUCAAGGAGUCUCCAAGAAUCUCUUCCUUUUGUGAAGCCUUGGAUUCUUGCAGUCCAAGUUGGUCACUGCUUUCUUCAGGCCACUAUUGAAGCUUGUGCUUAUCUGUGAUAAUCAGCACUUACAUACCACAUAACAUAGUAUUUAUAUUUACGUAUUUUUUCUCUCCCAAACUUUAGGUUAACUACUUGAGGAUAUAUUCAUUUCUUUUAUUUUUACAUCCAUGGUAACAGGAUCUGGCAUGGGUGAUUGCCCAAUAAAAAUUGAUGUAUUGAUAGGACUCCAGUGGUUUCUCCUAUAAUUCCCAUGUUUUUCGUCUUGGAUCUUUUUUCUGUAAGGUUUUUCAUCUGCCUUUGCAGGUAGUUGUGGUUUUAAAACUUUUUAGUUUCAGGAAAGGGAUAAUAGGGCAUUUUGUUAAAAGCUGACUAACCAUAGAUUUUUUUUUUUUCUUUUUUGUGCUUCACCUUUUUCAUUUGUGGAGUGAGAGGCAGGAUUAGGUGAUUUCCUGGGUGUUCUGGCCCUAAGGAUUUUGAAUAUGUGUGACAUCUGAGAACAAAAAGAAAACACGAUUUUUCAGUAAAGUAGACAAAAUAAUACACAGUAAAACAUUGGUUUGUGAGCAUAAUUUGUUCCGGAAACCUGCUGUAAUUCAAAGCUCUUGUAUAUCAAAGCGAAUUUAACCAUUGGCUCAGUUGUGAUCAUGUGAUGUUUGGCAUCAUGUACUACUCGUAUUGCAAUAUAUCACUCAUUUAUCAAGUUGAAAUUUAUUGAAAAUGCUUGCUUGUCUUGCGGAACACUUGCAGACCAAGUUACCCACAAUCCAGGGUUUUAUAGUGUAAGGAAUUGGGAAAACUUGAUUUAUACUUCAGAGUUUAAUAUUUUCUGAUUGUCAGUAUUGGUAAUUUUCUUAUUGGUUUACUGCAUUAGUUACCUUUUAUUAAUUUUAUAUUUUAGACUGAAAGCGAGCAGGGGAGGGGUAAAGGGAGAGAGAGAGAGAGAGAGAGAGAGAGAGAGAGAAUCUUCAAGCAGGCUCCACAUCCAGUACAGAGGCCCAGUGUGGAACCUGUGGGGCUUGAUCUCACUACAUUCAGAUCAUGACCUGAGCUGAAAUCUAGUCACAUGCAUAAUGGACUGAGCCACCCAGGUGCCCCUGUAUUAGUUACCUUUUAAUUUCCUUUAAGUAAGUCCUUCCUUUACCAUGCAGAGAUGUUCUGUGAAGAGAGUUAGCAAGCACCCUUUUAUUUUUUUAGAGGCACUUCCUGAUCUUUUUCUUGUGCUUUUGUAUCUUAACCUUGAUAGAUUCAUUGAAGUCUUAUCUGCCUUUCAGAGGAGAAAGUGGUUAAUACAGGAUGGAUCCUCAACCUUAAAAAGUUGUUUUAGAAGAAAAUUAAAUGUAAGAAGGGAGCUAUUGUAUGCAAAUCCUUGUUUAUUAUAACUGAAAUGGGACACAGAUUACUAGAUAAAAAGUUUAAAACUUCUUAUGAAAGCUUUCAAACAUUCAUAAAAGCAUAAUGAACUUUUAUAUACUUAAAUUUCAUAUACUUAAGUUUAAUGAUUAUUAGCAUUUUAUAUUUGUUUAGUUUUUGUUUGCUGUUGUAUUUUUUUUUUUUAAUGUUUAUUUUCGAGAGUGAGGGAGAGAGAGACAAAUCGUGAGUGGCAGAGGGACAGAGAGAGGGAGACAUAGGAUCCAAAGCAGGCUCCAGGCUCUGAGGUGUCAGCACAGAGCCCUAGGUGGGGCUCGAACUCACGAACUGUGAGAUCAUUACCUGAGCCGAAGUUGGACGCUUAACCUACUGAGCCACCCAGGCGCCCCAGCUGCUGUAUAGAUUCUGGAUAACGACAUUUCAAACCUAAAUACUUGAGUUUGCUUUUCUAAUAAACAGAGACAUUUUCUUUACAUAGUUGUGAUGUCAUUAUCUUAAAACCAAAAAUAAUUAUUUAACAUCAUCUAAUAUUUAACCUGUUGAAGAUUUCCCCAGUUGUAUGUACUUCUGUUUUUUAGUUUUUAAAGUUUAUUUAUUUUGAGAGAGAGAAAGCAAGCAGGGUACAGACAGAAAGAGGGAGAGAGAGAGAAUCCUAAGCAGGCUCUGCACUGUCAAUGUAUAGUCUGAGGUAGGCUCAAACUCAGGAAUGGUGAGAUCAUGACCUCAGCUGAUGCUUAAGUGUCUGAGCCACCCAGUCUCCCCUGUAUGUCUGUUUUUUAGCUGGUUUGUUCAGCUUACGCAUUGCAUUUGUUUGUCGUGUAUCCGAGUCUUAAUUUUAAACACUGCUUCCCCCACUUUUUUUUUUUUUUAAAUCAUACUCUUGUUGAGAAGAUCAGGUGGUUGAAUUGUCAAAUAGUCUAGGUAUGUGUGGGAUGUCUUUCCUGUAAAUUUGGAUUUAGAUUUGAGGGCUUGAUUAGAUUUAGGUCAGUAUUUGGUGGUAAAAAUAAUUCAUGGAUGGAAUUGUGUCACAUCAGGGAUAGACAGUGUCUGGUUUUCCCAGUUUUAGUGAUGUUGAUUGGUGAUAACAGCCUUACUUCCGCAUUAAAAAGUUGCAUAAA